rnacentral:lncRNA from 1 species
UUUGAUAUCAUUAAAAGUGUGCCGUGACAAAAAAAAGGUUGAGAAUCACUGAUUUAUGGUAUGUAAAGACAGUAAGUUAUCGAGAAUUGUUGAUUGUGAAAGUUUUCAACAUUUUGUAAAGACAAUAGUAUCUUUUAAUAAAAUUCAUUCUCAACCAAUGAUUAAAAGUCUAAUUUUCAAUAAAUAUAGUAGUAAUGUAUCCAUUGUCAAACAGCAGGUUAAACAGAAAUUUGAGCUGUUGUUUUUAUAUUGGAAGAACCACUUACUAGUGAGUAUCUAGCUAAUAAACUAAAGCAAUUGAUAAAAUAUUGGAAAAUCAAUGAAGAAUAUGCCAAUACAGUUGUUACUGACAAUACAAAAAAAAAAAAAAAACAAUGAUGUUUUUGGGAUCAAUGUUUUCUAACGUUGAUGUUCAACACUAAUUCAUAGCAUUCUAUACCAUUGCUGCAUUUACUUUUUGUCAAAACUAUAAA